rnacentral:lncRNA from 1 species
CUAGUAACCCGAAUUUAGCUUGAACGGACAAAAACGUGUUAACGCUAUUUAAAUGAGAUUAAUCAUCAUUUGAUAAAGAUUGACAAAAAUUAAAAAUUAUUUUUAAUUUAUUUCAAUUCAUUUCAAUUCAUUUUAACGCCAGUCAAAUAGAUUUCUUUGCGGUCAAUCAAUUGAAAUCAAGUUGGUGGUAAUGUACGUCAAACUAAUAGGCC